AGUCUUAUAGUCAAAUUAUGAUAUUAAAUUGCAAAUUUAAAGUUAGGUUAUCUUAAGGCUU
rnacentral:tRNA from 1 species